GGUCGAAUCGGCCAGCUGCGUCUGACGUAUCAGCGCAGCCAUUUUUGUACGCGUCGUAGUGCACGUACAGCAGAAAAUCUUAAAUUUGUGAAGCUUUGUGAAGCUUUGUAAUGCUUUAUCAACUAAGAAAGCAUAUUUAGUACAAUUCUGCAUCCUGUCCAUCACUGCAGUCCUGAGUCACCAUGGAGGGCUGCCAUUUAUCCUGUUCGUUUUAUAACUGUAAGCGGACCUACACUCAUCCAGACGCUCUGGACACCCACCUGAAGGAUCAUCACAAGACCCCUGCACAGUCCCUGCCUGGUAAGUCCUUCCUGUGCUCGACGAUAGGAUGUGACGGAUCUUUCUCCAGCAUGCAGCAGCUGAUGGAUCACAUGAGGCAUCACCACAAGCCAAAUUAUUUCUUCCUAUGUGAGAGCUGCAGGGCCAAGCUCCGCUCCUACCGCACCCUCCUCAAGCACCUCCAGACGUGCGCCAAGGUCGCCAAAAGCAAAGCGGCGAGAGUGGACGGAGGUCCGAUGCCCGAUCCGGCUUUUCUCAGCGCUGAUUCCGAUCCUGCUGGUUCUGUCUCAGCUGUAGAUGAAUCUCAGCAGAUGGAGUCUGACCCCUCGCUGCCUCCUCAAGCUCCGUUCCACAUGACUUCAUCAGAACAAGUGUUGUCAGCUCCUCCAGCAGAAGCCGCCGCUGCUUUUGAGGCUGUGAAGCUCCAGAAUCAGCUGGAUGCUCCCUACAGCCCGUUUCCCCCCAGCCUGUCUCCUGCCCCUGAUCCCGAGCCACAGCGCUCGCCCAGAGUCGGUCCGGUCAGCAUGGUGACCUCCCCACCACACACUCCACCAGGAUCUAACGCCGUCUGGAGGAAGAACCAAGCAGACUUGCCCGCGCCCAUUUUGCACAGAUGGAACUCUCCUCAGGCUUUGAGUAGAGAGGAAGUCCAGGUCAAUCCUUUAACAGUCGGAUCCUAUGGGAGCACACCAGGGGGCGCUACAGUUGCCUUCAGUGCGGUCACUGCACUCCCGAGCGUAAAGAGAUGACGGCACACAUCGAGGGCCAGCACAGGAGCCCGGGGGCCAAAACUAAUGACACGGAUGCAGCGAUCGGUUCACCUUCAUCCCUGAUUAAAACCUCAACAAACUCUGAGGACACGAAUUACACCCAGCUUUAGACUCACACCAGAUGAUAAACUUCGGAAUUGGACGGUUCUUGUAGCUCGCAUGAAGUGAACGGAGUGGAAAAUGACAUGCUGCAUUACCUACACUGACAUUUUCAAGCAACAAAGUGAUGUAAUGGCUUUGUAGCUGAAUCCCAACAACUUAAUGUUCCACUUAUUUUCAUUUUCCUUUUAGGUUGUAAUUAUAGUGUGAAUUUUUUUUUUUAUAACUUUUGUAGCUCAUUUUAAUGCAUACAACAGCAGUUUGUAUUUUCUUCAGUAGUGACUUGUAACUUAUUUGCACUUGAUUGUACACAGAUGUAAGUGCAUCAAUGUUGUUUUUGCAAAGUAAAAUAUUUAAAUGGUC